GACGGAGGGGGCAAGUGUUGUUCGGAAUUACUGGGUGUAAAGGGCAUGUAAAUGGUUGGGUAAGUCAGAUAUGAAAUCCCUCGGCUCAACUGAGGAAUGGUAUCCGAAACUACCCAACUAGAGUUUGGAAGAGGAGAGCGGAACUCCCGGUGUAGCGGUGGAAUGCGUAGAUAUCGGGAGGAACACCAGUGGCGAAGGCGGCUCUCUAGUCCAAAACUGACAUCGAAAUGCGAAAGCUAGGGGAG
rnacentral:rRNA from 1 species